rnacentral:rRNA from 1 species
CCUUGAAAUACCACCCUUUAAUGUUUGAUGUUCUAACGUGGACCCGUGAUCCGGGUUGCGGACAGUGUCUGGUGGGUAGUUUGACUGGGGCGGUCUCCUCCUAAAGAGUAACGGAGGAGCACGAAGGUUGGCUAAUCCUGGUCGGACAUCAGGAGGUUAGUGCAAUGGCAUAAGCCAGCUUGACUGCGAGCGUGACGGCGCGAGCAGGUGCGAAAGCAGGUCAUAGUGAUCCGGUGGUUCUGAAUGGAAGGGCCAUCGCUCAACGGAUAAAAGGUACUCCGGGGAUAACAGGCUGAUACCGCCCAAGAGUUCAUAUCGACGGCGGUGUUUGGCACCUCGAUGUCGGCUCAUCACAUCCUGGGGCUGAAGUAGGUCCCAAGGGUAUGGCUGUUCGCCAUUUAAAGUGGUACGCGAGCUGGGUUUAGAACGUCGUGAGACAGUUCGGUCC